AACGUAGGGACCGAGCGUUAUCCGGAUUUACUGGGCGUAAAGCGCGUUCAGGCGGUUUGGCAAGUCGGGCAUGAAAUCUCUCGGCUCAACCGGGAGAGGUUGUCCGAUACUGCUGGACUUGAGGGCAGUAGAGGGUGGUGGAAUUCCGGGUGUAGUGGUGAAAUGCGUAGAUAUCCGGAGGAACACCAGUGGCGAAAGCGGCCACCUGGACUGUACCUGACGCUGAGGCACGAAAGCGUGGGGAGCAAACAGG
rnacentral:rRNA from 1 species